CUAGCAUAAAACAUAUUCUAAUUAUGUCAUAUUUACACUCAUAAGUAUAUUUCUACAAAGCAUUGUGGGAUGCAACAUCACAGGUGGACCUAAUGCUUCA